UCUUGUAUUUAAUUCUGAAUAGAACAAAAUGUAAAAUAAGUGAAUAAGUUAUAGAUUAAAUAAUAAAUAAAUAAUUAAAUAUUCUUUAUUUAGUUUUUUCUUUAUUCUCACUUCUUCCAGAGACAUGUACGAAUGUACAUGUAUGUCUCUGAUUCUUCAUAGUCUUAUAUUAAGGAUUUGUAGAGUAUACAAAUCCUUGAUUAUAACAAAGGCAUAUAAUACUCAGUGUACCACUUCUGAACUUUUUUGUAAUUAUUAUCUCUACUUAAUUCCCCAUUCUUGAUUCCAGACCGGGUUCCGGACUAACUCUCAUAUACGUAAAUGAUCGUAAAUGUACGAAAGCUUGACACGUCGAAUACGAAAACCCGGAAAUAUUUUCUCCGUUGCCGUUUUUUAUACUAUGACGCAAAAUCCAUGGACGCUCGUCUGCUGCUGAAUUCAUGUUUUACAGUUUAACUAGGAUUUGUAUAGUGUCACUGUACAAAUCCUUGAGUUUAAAGAAUGGAAAGAUAUAUUAUAGUCAGAUAGAUAAUACAAAGAACUCUGGUCUUUCAAAACCGAUGGGUCAAAAAGUUAUUAGUAUGAACAGAUAAAUUGAAAUGGAUUGCUUGUCGAUUAACUGGAAGAAACCGGGGAACGAAAGAAAGUUGUGUUUCUCUUAACGGAUUACGUACCCAAUAUUUUGUACUUGGAAAGCGCAACGAAAGCUGACUCAAAAUCAUGCAUGAUGAUGCUGUUUGGGCCCCCUGGUUGUACAUAGGAAGUGGACUCCUCGAGAAGAUGAAAGGUCUGCUUUACAUCAUUUUCAAUGAAAGUACAAGUACUUUGAGAAGUAGGAGAAGCUAAGCAACAGAACAGAAUUCAUUUGGGUCAUUGAUGUCUAGAUUAUAUAGUGGAUUCAUAGAUUGUCAUAUUGAUUUAUGUGCAUAUGAGCACAGAGGAGCAGUAGUCAAUGAAUAAUUUUGUGAUGAGAGCUUGUAACCAAAUGAAAGGAAAGUACAGUAUUGACAAUGAUUGAUAUCACUGGUGAACAUGUAUGUCAUGUAGGUGUGAAUGUCCUGCAAAAAAGAACUGAUAUCAAAUUACCAUUCACAGUGAACAUGGUGAAGAAUAACCAAUACCAUGAAUACAGGACAUAGAAGACUACCUCACAAAUAUGGGAAUUUUACCAAAAAUACAACAUUUAAAUUUACAAAGAAGACAUUUAUUUUGACAUUCAUGGACUUUGAAAGUAAAGAAAUUAGAAUGUGAAUAAAAAUCCUUGGAAAUAAAAUUUUGAACUUUGAAGGAGAUUGAAGAUUAUGUUUGUUCUAAGAAAGUUUUAAGAAAACAGAUACAUUCAAAACUGUAAAAAGGAAACAAUACAAUAUUCACAAUUACUCUUGAGAU